rnacentral:rRNA from 1 species
UACGAAGGGGGCUAGCGUUGCUCGGAAUCACUGGGCGUAAAGCGCACGUAGGCGGAUUGUUAAGUCAGGGGGUGAAAUCCUGGAGCUCAACUCCAGAACUGCCUUUGAUACUGGCGAUCUUGAGUUCGGGAGAGGUGAGUGGAACUGCGAGUGUAGAGGUGAAAUUCGUAGAUAUUCGCAAGAACACCAGUGGCGAAGGCGGCUCACUGGCCCGGUACUGACGCUGAGGUGCGAAAGCGUGGGGAGCAACAGG